CCUACGGGAGGCAGCAGUAGGGAAUUUUCGGCAAUGGGCGAAAGCCUGACCGAGCAACGCCGCGUGAACGAAGAAGGUCUUCGGAUUGUAAAGUUCUGUUAUAGAGGAAGAAUGGUGUACGUAGGAAAUGGCGUACAAAUGACGGUACUCUGUGAGGAAGCCACGGCUAACUACGUGCCAGCAGCCGCGGUAAUACGGAGGAUCCGAGCGUUAUCCGGAUUUAUUGGGUUUAAAGGGUGCGUAGGCGGAUUUCUAAGUCAGCGGUAAAAUGUCCGGGCUCAACCCGGGCCGGCCGUUGAAACUGGGGAUCUUGAGUGGGCGAGAAGUAUGCGGAAUGCGUGGUGUAGCGGUGAAAUGCAUAGAUAUCACGCAGAACUCCGAUUGCGAAGGCAGCAUACCGGCGCCCGACUGACGCUGAGGCACGAAAGCGUGGGGAUCGAACAGGAUUAGAUACCCCAGUAGUC
rnacentral:rRNA from 1 species